AUUGAACGCUGGCGGCAGGCCUAACACAUGCAAGUCGAGCGGAGCGGCGAAAGGGUGAGUAACGCGUGAGUAACUGCCCCCCUCUCUGGGAUAACAGUUGGAAACGGCUGCUAAUACCGGAUAGUGGGGGAUGACUCGCGUCCUAUCGGCUUGUUGGUGGGGUAGUGGCCUACCAAGGCGACGAGGGGUAGCCGGCCUGAGAGGGCGACCGGCCACAUUGGGCUUAGAUACGGCCCAAACUCCUACGGUAGGCAGCAGUGGGGAAGAUUGCACAAUGGGGGCAACCCGGAUGCAGCAACGCCGGGUGCGGGAUGACGGCCUGCGGGUUGUAAACCGCUUUCAGCCAUGACGCGGUAGUGGCAGAAGAAGCACCGGCUAACUACGUGUCAGCAGCCGCGGUAAUAC
rnacentral:rRNA from 1 species